GACGAACGCUGGCGGCGUGGAUUAGGCAUGCAAGUCGAACGGUAUCAUCCUUUCGGGGGUGAGAGAGUGGCGAACUGGUGAGUAACACGUAGGUUAUCUACCCUCAAGACGGGGACAACCCAGGGAAACUUGGGCUAAUACCGGAUGUGAGCAACUUUUAGUUGUUUGAAAGGUGGCGUAAGCUGUCGCUUGGGGAUGAGCCUGCGUCCUAUUAGUUAGUUGGUGAGGUAACGGCUCACCUAGGCAAUGAUGGGUAGGCGGCCUUAACGGGUGGUCGCCCACACUGGGAUUGAGAUACGGCCCAGACUCCUACGGGAGGCAGCAGUCGAGAAUAGUCUACAAUGGUCGGAAGACUGAUAGUGCGACGCCGCGUGAACGAUGAAUCCCUUCGGGGUGUAAAGUUCUUUUAUAUGUGAGCAGUGCUUCUUAUAUUAACAGUAUGGGGAGAGAGAUAUUAGCAUAUGAAUAAGCAACGGCUAACUCCGUGCCAGCAGCCGCGGUAAACUCGU
rnacentral:rRNA from 1 species